rnacentral:rRNA from 1 species
CUAAGGUAGCAUAGUCAUUUGUUAUUUAAUUGAUAACUGGAAUGAAAGGUUAAACUAGCUUAUUAAGUUUGUAGGUUAAAUAGUAGAUUAAAGUUAAGGUAAGAAUUCUUUAAUAUUCUAGGGGACGAUAAGACCCUAGAAGCUUGACAAGUAGAAUCUUUUGUUUUGAGAGUUUGUUUGUUUUACUGGGGCGGUAAAAAUAAUUAAGCUAUUUUUUAUGUAGAGGAUCCUUAAGAUAAAGAAAAAAUAGGAAAGUUACUCUAGGGAUAA